AUUGAACGCUGGCGGAAUGCCUAACACAUGCAAGUCGAGCGGGGUGUAGCAAUACACCUAGCGGCGGACGGGUGAGCAAUACAUAGGAAUCUACCUUUCAGUGGGGGAUAGCCCGGGGAAACCCGGAUUAAUACCGCAUGAUGUCGCAAGACCAAAGCGGGGGACCGUAAGGCCUCGCGCUGAAAGAUGAGCCUAUGUCUGAUUAGCUAGUUGGCGGGGUAAAAGCCCACAAGGCUACGAUCAGUAGCUGGUUUGAGAGAACGAUCAGCCACACCGGAACUGAGACACGGUCCGGACUCCUACGGGAGGCAGCAGUGGGGAAUAUUGGACAAUGGGCGAAAGCCUGAUCUAGCAAUUCCGCGUGUGUGAAGAAGGCCUGGUGUAAG
rnacentral:rRNA from 1 species